rnacentral:rRNA from 1 species
AAUAUAUAGAUAAUGUGCCUCUUAGUCUGGGAUAGCCAUUGGAAGCGAUGAUUAAUACUAGAUACUCCUUCUAACUUUAAUGUUAGUCGGGAAAGUUUUUUCGCUAAGAGAUCAGUCUAUAUCCCAUCAGCUUGUUGGUAGUGUAAGAGACUACCAAGGCAAUGACGGGUAGCGGGUUUGAGAGGAUGAUCUGCCACACUGGUACUGAGACACGGACCAG